rnacentral:rRNA from 1 species
ACGAACGCUGGCGGCGUGCUUAACACCUGCAAGUCGAACGGAAAGGCCCUGCUUUUGUGGGGUGCUCGAGUGGCGAACGGGUGAGUAACACGUGAGUAACCUGCCCUUGACUUUUGGAUAACUUCAGGAAACUGGGGCUAAUACCGGAUAGGAGCUCCUGCUGCAUGGUGGGGGUUGGAAAGUUUCGGCGGUUGGGGAUGGACUCGCGGCUUAUCAGCUUGUUGGUGGGGUAGUGGCUUACCAAGGCUUUGACGGGUAGCCGGCCUGAGAGGGUGACCGGCCACAUUGGGACUGAGAUACGGCCCAGACUCCUACGGGAGGCAGCAGUGGGGAAUAUUGCACAAUGGGCGGAAGCCUGAUGCAGCAACGCCGCGUGCGGGAUGACGGCCUUCGGGUUGUAAACCGCUUUCGCCUGUGACGAAGCGUGAGUGACGGUAAUGGGUAAAGAAGCACCGGCUAACUACGUG